AAAAAAUACUUGUAGGUAUGAUGGAGCCUUCUAAAAUGGAAAGAAUUUAUCUGUCUCUGUCCGAAGUAAUCCGCUGAAAUGCAAUCUGGGGAUUAUAAAGGGUCAGAUGUUGCCUUUAUAAUAACAAACACCCAGCAACUAGAGGAAUAAAAGUGAGAAGCUCAAGGAAAGAGUUCCCACUUGUCUGUAAGAUUCUCAGAGGUGAGGAACAAUGUCUUCAAUUUGUUUCACUGAUACAAUGCCUGAGUACAUGCCUUCUACUUACUUUUUAAAAAAGUUAACUGUAAAAUAGCCUGAGGCAGGUCCUUCAAGAGGUAUUCCAGAAGGCAUUGUUGCCAGAAGAGAUGACAGCUCUAUGUGUGUUACUGCCCUUGAAGACCUUCCUGUGGGACAAGAUGUGGAGGGCGACUGAAACUUGUUUGUCCACCUGGUGGGACUCUGCAAAUCCUGCCUACAAUAACCCAGGCAAACCUCUAGGUGUCCUCAUUGACCAAGCUCCAGAAUUGCAGGCCAGAGAAAACUAUUUUUAGAAAAGGUUUUCUCAAAUAGUUGUGUGACAUGGGAGUGCACACUUAUGAAAAAUAUAGCAGUGUCAAGUGUCUGUGUGAGCUGGUGGUAAUAACUCCAAAGUAAAAUAAAUCUGCUAGCGUAUGUGAUUUUCUCUAUGAAUAUUCAGUGCCUUGGCUACAGGUUGAUCGCUGGAUUUUGAUACAGUUCUAAAGGACUGAGCUUUUGAUUGGCUGCAAAUAGAAUUGACGGUUAGAUGGAUUCUUGACCAAUUUUAUGUAGAUGUGAUGGAACCCAAAUGUUGGUUUUGAAAGUCCUUAAAAAUGUGUCCGUUUCACCAAAAUUAUAACAGAUUUCUAAAUAAAUAAAAAAAGAAAGAAAAGGUUUUCUCAGGUGUGUUCUUCCAGGGGAGUUUCUGUACAUUCUGUGCGUGCUUUGGUCUGCUUUAGAACAGACCAAACGGGGCCUGUUCUAGAAUGUUCUCAGUCUGAAGAAAGGCUCUGGGUUUGAGCAGGGCCAGCUUCUCUGUGGAUGGGAAGGAUAAGACACCCAUUUGCUCAGCCUACAAUC